rnacentral:rRNA from 1 species
UACGUAGGGUGCAAGCGUUGUCCGGAAUUAUUGGGCGUAAAGGGCUCGUAGGCGGUUUGUCGCGUCUGCUGUGAAAACUGGAGGCUCAACCUCCAGCCUGCAGUGGGUACGGGCAGACUAGAGUGCGGUAGGGGAGAUUGGAAUUCCUGGUGUAGCGGUGGAAUGCGCAGAUAUCAGGAGGAACACCGAUGGCGAAGGCAGAUCUCUGGGCCGUAACUGACGCUGAGGAGCGAAAGCGUGGGGAGCGAACAGG